rnacentral:rRNA from 1 species
GAUGAACGCUGGCGGCGUGCCUAAUACAUGCAAGUCGAGCGAACGGACGAGAAGCUUGCUUUUCUGAUGUUAGCGGCGGAAGGGUGAGUAACACGUGGAUAACCUACCUAUAAGACUGGGAUAACUUCGGGAACCCGGAGCUAAUACCGGAUAAUAUUUUGAACCUCAUGGUUCAAAAGUGAAAGACGGUCUUGCUGUCACUUAUAGAUGGAUCCGCGCUGCAUUAGCUAGUUGGUAAGGUAACGGCUUACCAAGGCAACGAUGCAUAGCCGACCUGAGAGGGUGAUCGGCCACACUGGAACUGAGACACGGUCCAGACUCCUACGGGAGGCAGCAGUAGGGAAUCUUCCGCAAUGGGCGAAAGCCUGACGGAGCAACGCCGCGUGAGUGAUGAAGGUCUUCGGAUCGUAAAACUCUGUUAUUAGGGAAGAACAUAUGUGUAAGUAACUGUGCACAUCUUGACGGUACCUAAUCAGAAAGCCACGGCUAACUACGUG